AUCCUCUCCUGAAGCUAUUUUUUUAGAAAACCUAUCAUUUCUUAAUCUUUUUCAAAUAAAUACAAUCCUCAAUGGUUAUGGUUCAAUUCUGGAUCUUAUAUUAUCCAAUUCUAAUUCUCAUUCUAUAUCAUUAAAUAAGGAUUCUAUAGUUCCAGUAGAUAAUUAUCACCCUCCUAUUAAUGUCAGCUACUCUCUGCUCUACACUCCCUCUCCCCUAUCUUUUUCUGAAGAAACCUAUGACUGGUAUAAGGGAGAUUAUAUUAAUAUUUUAUCUUUCUUUGGUUCAAUAAACUGGAACGAAUUUUUCAAUAUUAGUAAUGAUAUUACAACCAUCACCAAAGAAUUUUAUUCCCUCCAAUUCAAUGCAAUAGACACUUUUAUUCCUAAAAAAAGAUACUGCAAAUCUAAAUUCCCCUGUUGGUUCUCUAAAGACCUAAUAAAUCUAAUCAAAUUAAAAAAAUUCCAAC